rnacentral:rRNA from 1 species
CCUACGGGAGGCAGCAGUGAGGAAUAUUGGUCAAUGGGCUUACGCCUGAACCAGCAAAGUCGCGUGAGGGAAGACUGCCCUAUGGGUUGUAAACCUCUUUUGUCAGGGAGCAACGCCGGCUACGUGUAGCCGGACUGAGAGUACCUGAAGAAAAAGCAUCGGCUAACUCCGUGCCAGCAGCCGCGGUAAUACGGAGGAUGCGAGCGGUAUCCGGAUUUAUUGGGUUUAAAGGGUGCGUAGGCGGAAUGCCAAGUCGGCGGUAAAAGCGCGGGGCUCAACCGCGCUCCGCCGUUGAAACUGGCGUUCUUGAGUGGGCGAGAGGUAUGUGGAAUGCGUGGUGUAGCGGUGAAAUGCGUAGAUAUCACGCAGAACUCCGAUUGCGAAGGCAGCAUACGGGCGCCCAACUGACGCUGAAGCACGAAAGCGUGGGUAUCGAACAGGAUUAGAUACCCGUGUAGUC